rnacentral:rRNA from 1 species
AACGAACGCUGGCGGCAGGCUUAACACAUGCAAGUCGAGCGCCCCGCAAGGGGAGCGGCAGACGGGUGAGUAACGCGUGGGAAUCUACCCAUCUCUACGGAAUAACGCAUGGAAACGUGUGCUAAUACCGUAUACGUCCUUCGGGAGAAAGAUUUAUCGGAGAUGGAUGAGCCCGCGUUGGAUUAGCUAGUUGGUGGGGUAAAGGCCUACCAAGGCGACGAUCCAUAGCUGGUCUGAGAGGAUGAUCAGCCACACUGGGACUGAGACACGGCCCAGACUCCUACGGGAGGCAGCAGUGGGGAAUAUUGGACAAUGGGCACAAGCCUGAUCCAGCCAUGCCGCGUGAGUGAUGAAGGCCUUAGGGUUGUAAAGCUCUUUCGUCCGGGACGAUAAUGACGGUACCGGAAGAAGAAGCCCCGGCUAACUUCGUGCCAGCAGCCGCGGUAACAC